UAUCAUCUACCUAAGUUUCUUCGGCGCCUUAUCUGAGCUUCCAUUUUGUGAGGGUUAGGAUACAAAGUAGGUGGAGUUUGAAAGGAGAUCCAAACUUCAUAUUGUCAAUAUCACUGUGGAAGCAUUCAUAGGCACAGUUGCUAAAAGAAUAAUUUUGUUUGAUAUUGUCAAUGUUUAUGUUCAGUUUAAUUCUUGCUAGGUGCUAAUGUACAUUAUGCUUCGAUUUGCUAAAAAGGGGAGCUAAUUCAAAUUUCAGAAGUUUUCUAUGCUGCAAGAUUCUCUAAUUUGUGUUCAUAUCUUGAGAUUGUGCCAACAACUGAUGGGGCUGAAUAAACCUGUCAGUUUUAGUAUUUUUCUUUACUUUACUUAGAGCCGUCAAUCUGGGCUAGGCCUGUUGGGCUGGCCUAGCCUAACCCGGGAUUUAAUAGGGCUGGGCUAAAAAUUUUGGACCCCAUUUAAGAAAAGGGCUUUUUAGCCCGGCCUGAAUAAGCCUGCUGAUUUGUGGGGCUUGAGAAAUAUAGGUAGGGCCGGCCCGUGGGCUAAUACAAAUUAAUUAAAAAAUAUAAUAUAAUAUUAAAAUUUAAAAUUAAAGAGAUCCAAACUCAAAAUCUAUUUAAAGUUUUUUAGGAAAUCACUAAGUAUAGAAGUUGCAUCCACCAUGAAAAUGUCCAAACACUUGUUGCUACUCGAAACUGGUUACAUGGUUUUUCUCAAACUGGUAAUAUAUUUUUGUGUACAUUUAAAUAUUAUAAUUCUCAAUUGAGUUAUUUUUUAAUAUUUAACUAAUUGAAACGGCAUAUAAAUUGCAGAUGUUAAGACAACCUUCCCACAAGUCACAAGUUGAUUCAGAUAUGCUUGAUGAAGAUAAUCAUGAAGUGUUAGAUACGUCAUAUGUUUCAUGAAGUGUUAGAUACGCCAUAAGUUUCAUGAUUUUUUAAGGAGUUUAUUUUUUACUUUUUUAUGGUUGGAAUAUUGUCAUAUUUUUUGUGUUUUAUUGUGAUCAUUGCAAAACAGUUAGGUUAAUAUUUUUAUUUAGAUAUUUAUAUUUUUACUUGAAUAAUUUAAUUUAAUAAUUAUAAAAAAUAUAUAUAACUUUUAAAAAAAUGGGUAGGCCCGGCAAGCCUGUAGCCCACGUACUUGUGGGUUGGGCCGACCGUUUUCUGGCCCACACAAAAAAUGGGCUAGCCUGGCCUAACCCGUAAAAUGUCAAAGUCUGUAUGGGUUAGCCCGGAUGGGGUGGGAUAGCCCAUAUUGACAGCUCUACUCUAUCAUUUAAAUAACGGAAAAGGAUCAAGAAUACCUCUGACCUAUUGGAAAAGGUUUAAAAAUACCCUUCAUCCACUUUUUGGUCUAAAAAUAUCCUCCAUUGGUAUUUUUGGUUCAAAAAAUACUUCUCCUUCCACCUUUUGGGCUAAAAAUACUCUCAACUCAAAUUCAAUUGAAUUAAAUUCUUUUACUUAUUAGUUGUUUUGAAAGAUAAAUUUUUAUUUAUUCAAAUUCUUAAUAUUAGCUCAUCUCAAAUAUUUAAAAUUUAUUAAGUCUAAUUAUAUUUAAAAUUUUAAAAAAUUCUUACGUUAUCAAAUAUUUUAGUAAAGAGAGUAAAAAAACAACAAAAUUUGACAAAAAAAGACCCCCUUUUUUAUGUCUUAUUUACCGUUGUCACUGACCCAAAAUAACGAUGACGAUGAUGAUGAUGAUGAUAUUAAUAAUAAUAAUAAUAAAAAAAAUUUAAAAACUCAUUUUUCCCUAUUUACAAUCAGUGAUCCAAAAUAAGGACACCACCCAUCACGAAAUUUUGAAAAAGAAAAAAAAUCUUUUUUGUUUCUUAUUUACGGUUACUAAUCAUAUCUAAAAUCCUAAAUAUUAGCUACGUAUAUAAUUAGUCAAAUUUUGUCUUUUUCCUUUAUUCCCUGUUACUAAAAAUAUUGACAACAUAACAAAUUUAAUAUUUUAUUUUAAAUAUAGUUAGACUUAAAUAAUUUAAAUAUUUUGGGAUGAACUAAUAUUACGAAUUUGAAUAAAUAAAAUAUUAUCAUUAAAACAAAUAAAAAGAAUUAGCUAACAAGUAAAAAAAAAGUUCAAUUCAAUUUGGGUUAAGGGUGUUUUUAGACCAAAAGGUGGAUGGAGGAGUAAUUUUGAACCAAAAGCAAAAGUGGAGGGUAUUUUUAGACCAAAAGGUGGAUGAAGGGUAUUUUUGAACCUUUUCCAAUAGGUCAGGGGUAUUCUUGACCCUUUUCCGUUUAAAUAAAAGUAUACUGGAAUCUAGUGUAUAAUUUAUAGUUUUUUCAAAAUUUAAUAUUUUUAACAGUUAAUUACGCUAAACAUUUUUAGAUAUUUAAUAUUGCUUAAAAAAAAGUCAAAUCAAAUUAUGUUGAUUUUUAAUUUAAAUAUUGAGGUUUUUUUUAAAUUUAAUUUGUUUUUUUUUUAUUUGGAGUAAAUAGCCUUGGUGCAUCCAAAAUUGAGUCAUUUUAUAGGAUAAUUUAGUAUAAUUAGUCAUAUUUUAAAGUCAAAUCUUUCGUUUGAAAGAAUUAUACGAUAAAUCGUGUAAAUGUUACAACACAAAAGUUUUGCAUGACUUGUAUCGUCGAAAUAUUGUUCCAAACAGCCUUCGUUUCUCUUGAAAAUAGAGUUCUAGUCAAAUUAAAUAUCUUAAUUAAUUUCUUUUAGUGCCUAGGGGUGUUCACAUGUCGGUUUGGAUCGGUUAUUAGUCAAAAUGAAAAUCAAACCUGUUAACUUAUGAUAUUCUGAAUAAUGACAAGUUGAAUUCACAUCGCAGGAAAUCAAGAGAAGAAACAAGAAGAUCACCAGCUUCACCAAAAAGACUGAGUGACACGAGCAAACCAUGGAAAUAGAUUGACCAAAUCAAAUCUAAAGGAUCGCACCAAUCAAGGAAUAUAUUGGCUCAUAAUUUGGCACAACCAUGGAACUGGAUCAACACACAAUCAAUCUAAAAGAUUGAUUCAAUCAGUCAUCAUAAGGAUCACACCAAUCAAGGAAUAGAUUGAUUCACAAUCUGCAGCAACCAUAGAAAUGGAUCAACACACAAUCAAUCUAAAAGAUUGAUUCAAUCAGCCAUCAUUCCAAAAGGAAAACAGCACCAGGCAAUCAAUUAGGACAACAAGCAAUUCACACUGAUUAUGGAACUGAUCAGGAAAGAUGACAGCUGCAAAACAGAAGGCUCAAGACAGCAAGCAGGAUCAAAAGAAGAUCAGCAAAGGAUUCUACAUCAGCAUUUGUUUCAAGGCAGAUUAAAUCAAGGAUCCAAGAUUCUCAAUCAAGGAAACAUUACAAAUCCUUGAUUGAAGGAAACUCCCUUGGGUUUUCCUUUCCUGUUAGAGCUAAAAACCCAUCGCAAUACUGAUAUAUAAAAGAAGACUCAGACCAACAGUUGAAAUUACGCACUUCACUUGAACUUAUAUUGUAAUCUUCUUUUAUCUUUCAUAAAAUUUUGUACACACUUGAGUGAACAAAUGAAAAGAAAAGAAAAAGAAAGAUCUGAGUGUAGGUUAUACAGGUAGAGGUUGUGUCAAAGAAAAAAAUCCGAUUUGCAUAUUAGACGGGGAUCUUAAUUGUAACAUUUUGUAACACUCAAGUUCUCAACAAGCUCUUAAGGAAACCCUUGUAACCCAAGAGGACUGGACUAGGCACCACAUCGGUGAUCUGAACCAGUAUAAAAAUACUCUGUGUUAUUUACUUACUGCAAGUUAUUAUUACUGUUUAUUUAUUCUACCAACGUGCAGGUGAGUCGACUGGCCAUUACAGAAAGUUGACUAAAGGAAAUUUUAAUUCACCCUCCCCCCUCUUGACUUUCAAUUAGUAUCAGAGCAGGUCUCACAUUUGAAGUGUUUAACCACACGUGAGCAAAGAUCCAAUGGCACACUAUUAGAUUCCUGGUGCUCUACUUCAAGAUGGACAUUCUUCACACCGACCACCAUACUUCAAUGGACAACAUUACUCUCACUGAAAAGACAGAUUCAAAAUCUUUGUCUCUUCAAAUUUCCUGGUGCUCUACUUCAAGAUGGACAUUCUUCACACCGACCACCAUACUUCAAUGGACAACAUUAAUAUCACUGGAAAGACAGAUUCAGAAUCUGUCUCUUCAAAUGAUCACCAAGCAUGGAUAGUGAUCAAGAAGGGCCCAAAGCCUAUUCCUGGACUAACAGACAAAGAUGGCAAUAAAAAAUCAUUUGAUCCUGAAUCAUUUGACAUCACUAAGGAGCAACAAAAGGUAAUUCAAACUAAUGCUAGAGCUAUAAGUUUGUUAUAUUGUACAGUGAGCGGAGCUGAAUAUGACAAGAUAUCAACAUGUGAAACUGCAAAAGAAAUGUGGGACAAACUAGAAGUGACUUAUGAAGGAACCACCAAGGUGAAGGAGGCUCAGAUCAGUUCACUAGUAAAUGAAUAUGAAUUGUUCAAAAUAGCCGAAGAUGAAACUGUAGAAACUAUGUUCUCAAGAUUCAGUAAAUUGUCUGCGAACUCAAAUCACUUAAAAUGGUGUAUUCAAAUGGACUUCAAGUUAAAAAAUUUGUUAGAAGUCUUCCCAAAGCUUGGGAAACUAAGGCUGCCAUUCUUGAAGAUGGAGAUCUGCAAAAAAUGACAUACGAUGAACUUAGAGGCAACUUGAUGGUCUAUGAACAGAAUCAUAUCAACAGGUACAAUAAAGAUGAUAAAAAGAAAACUGUGGCAUUUACAGCUGAGACAUCUGAAAUUGGAGAAGAAGUCGAUGAAAAUCAAGACGAAGGAAUGGCUCUUAUAAAUCGAGGAGUGAGACAAAUGCUUAGACAAAGAGGACAGAGACCUCAACAGGACUUUAAGAACAAUGAUUUCAAAAGAAAUGAUGAUCGCUGCUACUACUGUGGAAAACCAGGACACAUCAAACAAAACUUCCCAGAACGGAGAAGAAGAAACAAUCAAAGAAAUGAGGACCCUAAGAGUCUCGGAGCAUGGGAUCAAAGAGAAACAACCGACGAUGAUCAUGAUGAAAUGGUCAAUCUAUGUUUCAUGGCACUAGGUGAAACAAGUGAGGAGCAAUCUAAGAAAACCUACAAAAAGGGAAUGUGGGUACUUGAUAGUGGAUGCUCCAAGCAUAUGUGUGGAAAGAAAGAAAACUUCAAAACCAUCAAAAAAAUCGAUGGAGGAUUUGUAAGAUUUGGGGACAAUGCUAAAGGAGAUGUAACACGAGUUGGAACUAUUACUCUAAGCUCAUCAUGUGAUUUGGUUGAAGUAUAUCUCGUUGAAGGACUCAAGCACAAUCUUUUUAACAUCAGUCAACUAUGUGAUGCUGAAUUUCAAGUUACCUUCAAUACAGCAAGCUGCAUUAUCAAACAUUUUGAGAAAAAGCUCACUAUCAUUGGAGAUCGAGUAAAUAAUAUAUAUAUUUUAAAUAAUGUUGUUUUUUCAACUCUUACUUGUCUUACUGCAGUCACAAGUGAUCAUUGGCUAUGGCAUCGAAAACUUGGACACGCAAGUAUGCACGCUUUUGAGAAACUAUCCAGACUUGAACUAGUUAUCGGCUUACCAAAACUAAAAUUUGAUAAAGAUCACAUUUGUGACGGAUGCCAAUUAGGUAAGCAGACUCGUUCAUCGUUUAAAGUAAAAGACAUUGUAAGUACAUCUAAACCUCUUCAGCUUCUUCAUAUGGAUUUGUUUGAUCCUACUCGAACAGUAAGUAUUGGAGGUAAAAGAUAUGCUUUUGUAAUUGUUGAUGACUUCUCAAGGUUUACAUGGGUAAUUUUUCUCUCUCACAAAAAUGAAGCUUUUGCUAAUUUUGGAAGUAUUUUGCAGAAAAGUUCAAAGAGAAGCAGAUUAUUUUCUUACAACUAUUCAUAGUGAUCACGGUGGUGAAUUUGAGAAUAAGGCAUUUGAAGAGUUCUGUGCUCAAAAUGGGUUCACUCAAAACUUCUCUUCACCUAGAUCACCUCAGUAAAAUGGAGUAGUGGAAAGGAAAAAUCGUUCUUUACAAGAUACAGCAAGAACUAUGUUACUUGAUCGAAAUCUCCCUGACCAUUUUUGGGCAGAAGUUGUAAGCACUGCUUGUCACAUUCUUAACAGGUGUCUUAUCAGACCUAUACUAAAGAAGACUCAAUAUGAACUAUGGAGAGGUAAGAAACCAAACAUCAGCUACUUCCAUCCGUUUGGAUGCAAAUGUUUCAUCCACAAUAACGGUAAGAACAAUCUUGGUAAGUUCAAUCCUAGAAGUGACGAAGGUAUUUUUCUAGGUUAUGCUCCCAUUAGCAGAACCUUUCGUGUUUCUAAUAAAAGAACUUUAAGUGUUGAAGAAUCUGUCCAUGUGGUAUUUGAUGACACUAAUCCAAGAAUGCAGGAAAGUGAUGCAAGUGAGGAUGAAAUUGAAUCAUCCAAAUCAACAGAAGUCAUUUCUAACAUGUCCACUGAAAAUAUCACUGAAGAGCCGGCUACUGUAGAAGUAGAGUCGACUACUGCAGCUGACAAAACAAAUGUACCUAGAGAAUGGAGACACAAUGCAAGCUAUCCUGAAAACUUCAUUCUGGGAAAAUCAGAUGAUAAUAUUCAGACUAGAUCCUCUCUCAAGAAACAAGCUUCAUUAGCUCUCAUAUCUCAAAUGGAACCAAAACGAAUAAAUGAAGCAAGAUGAAUCUUGGAUACAAGAUAUGAAAGAAGAACUUGAUCAAUUCGAAAUGAAUCAGGUAUGGACUCUUACUGAAAGACCUAAGAACUGUUCUGUGAUAGGAACAAAGUGGGUUUUUCGCAACAAAUUGGAUGAAAACGGAAAAGUUAUCCUAAAUAAAGCCAGGUUAGUAGCUCAAGGUUACUCUCAGCAACAAGGAGUCGACUAUGAUGAAACCUUUGCUCAUGUAGCAAGGAUGGAAUCUAUUCGAAUUCUUCUAGCAUUUGCUUCUUUCAAUCGCUUCAAACUUUUUCAAAUGGACGUUAAAAGCGCUUUUUUAAAUGGAUUCAUUAAAGAAGAAGUUUUUGUUAAGCAACCUCCUGGUUUUGAAAAUCCAUCAUGUCCUGAUUAUGUUUUCAAAUUAUCUAAAGCUCUUUACGGUCUAAAACAAGCCCCAAAAGCUUGGUAUGAAAGUUUGAGCAUUUUUUGGAUAAAAAAUGAUUUUCUUAGAGGGAAAAUUGAUACAACCUUGUUUACAAAAAAAUCUGAUUCGUGUGUUCUUAUUGUUCAAAUUUAUGUUGAUGAUAUUAUAUUUGGAAGUUCUAAUCUUUCUCUUUGUGAGAAUUUUGCAAAUCUUAUGAAAGGAGAAUUUGAAAUGAGUCUUAUGGGCAAGCUUUCAUUCUUUCUUGGUCUUCAAAUUAAGCAAUCAGAAAAAGGAAUUUUUAUAAAUCAAGAAAAGUAUGCAAAAGAGUUGAUCAAAAAAUUUGGAAUGGAAAAAAGGCAAAGAAUUUGGCACUCCCAUGAGUCCCUCCACCCGCCUCGAAUCCGAUACAACAGGAAAAGCAGUUGACAAAAAACUUUACCGAGGAAUGAUUGGGUCCUAAUUAUAUCUCACUGCAAGUCGACCUGACAUUAUGUUCAGCGUUUGCAAAUGUGCACGAUUCCAAUCCGUUCCAAAGGAGUCACAUCUCACCGUUGUGAAACGAAUUAUUCGAUAUCUCAUUGGAACCUCUGAUAUGGAGUUAUGGUAUCCUUUUUUAAAAAAAAUUGAUUUGAUUGGAUAUUCAGAUGUUGACUUUGCAGGUGAUAAAAAUGACAGAAAAAAACACCGUGGAACAUGCCAAUUUUUGGGAAAAUUUCUUAUUUCCUGGCAUAGUAAGAAACAGACCUCUGUUGCCCUUUCAACUACUGAAUUUGAAUAUCUGGCUGUUGGAAGUUGUGGCACUCAACUACUUUGGAUGAUGCAUCAACUCCUGGACUAUGAUUUAUUCUUUGAGGGAGUACCUAUUUUUUGCGAUAAUACUAGUGCUAUUAGUCUAUCUAAAUAUAUUAUGCAUCAUUCUAGAGCUAAACAUAUAGAUAUCAAGCAUCAUUUUAUUCGUGAUCAUGUUGAAAAUGGUGAUUUUGUGCUUGAAUUUGUUGAUUUUGAGAAUCAGUUAGCCGAUAUCUUUACAAAACCUUUACUUUAGGAAAGAUUUUGUUUCCUUCGAGAAUGUCUUGGCAUUACCUCAUUUAUUAAUUAAGUACCAGUUUUCUUGGCAUCACUCUCUCUGUAGGAAUGUGAUUACCUCCCUGAAGUAUUUUUUCGGUGAUCGUUAAGACUAUGGGUUCUUUUCUCGUUUGCUAAAGACUGCCAGUUUGUGGAGAUAUGUCUCCAUUUCUUUUGGACUGUAUAUUUGUUUUUGCGUAUCCUAUUUUUUAUUUUCCUUUUUGAUUAUGCCAAAGGGGGAGAAUAAUUAGACCUUGCCAUAGAGCAAGGGGGAGCAUGCUGGAAAUCUACACAGGAGGCAUACAACAAGGGGGAGCAUGAAUCGAAUAGGGAAGUCAAAUUAAACUUGUAUUAAUCUUAAUUGUCAUUAUCAAAAAGGGGGAGAUUGUUAACUUAUGAUAUUAUGAAUAAUGACAGGCUGAAUUCACAUCGCAGGAAAUCAAGAGAAGAAACAAGAAGAUCACCAGCUUCACCAAAAGACUGAGUGACACGAGCAAACCAUGGAAAUAGAUUGACCAAAUCUAAUUGGAAGGAUUGCACCAAUCAAGUAAUAGAUUGGCUCACAAUCUGCAGCAACCAUGGAAAUGGAUCAACACACAAUCAAUCUAAAAGAUUGAUUCAAUCAGCCAUCAUAAGGAUCACACCAAUCAAGGAAUAAAUUGACUCACAAUCUGCAACAACCAUUUUAAUGGAUCAACACACAAUCAAUCUAAAAGUUUGAUUCAAUCAGCCAUUACUCCAAAAAGGAAAACAUCACCAGGCAAUCAAUCAGGACAACAAGCAAUUCACACUGAUUAUGGAACUAAUCAGGAAAAAUGACAGCUGCAAAAUAGAAGGCUCAAGACAGCAGGCAGGAUCAAAAGAAGAUCAGCAAAGGAUUCUACAUCAGCAUUUGUUUCAAGGCAGAUUAAAUCAAAGAUCUAAGAUUCUCAAUCAAGGAAACAUUACAAAUCCUUGAUUGAAGGAAACUCCCUUAGGUUUUCCUGUUAGAGCUAAAAUACCAUCACACUACUCACAUAUAAAAGAAGACUCAGACCAACAGUUGAAACUACGCACUUCACUUGAACUUAUAUUGUAAUCUUCUUUUAUCUUUCAUAAAACUUUGUACACACUUGAGUGAACAAUUGAAAAGAAAAGAAAAUGAAAGAUCUGAGUGUAGGUUAUACAGGUAGAGGUUGUGUCGAAAAAGAAGAUCUGAUUUGCAUAUCAGACGGGGAUCUUAAUUGUAACAUUCUAUAACACUCAAGUUCUCAACAAGCUUUUAAGGAAACCCUUGUAACCCAAGGGGACUGGACUAGGCACCACAUCGGUGAUUCGAACCAGCAUAAAACACUUUGUGUUAUUUACUUACUGCAAGUUAUUAUUACUGUUUAUUUAUUCUACUAACGUGCAGGUGAGUCGACUGGCCAUUACAAGAAGUUGACUGAAGGAAAUUUUAAUUCACCCCUCCCCCCACCUUCUUUACUUUCAAAACCAACUUAAUCAGUUUUAAAAUUAUCAUAACCAAGUCUAACCAAAUAUAAUAUAUAUUUAUCAGUUUCGGUUUGGUUUGGUUUGGUUAUUCGAUUAUUAACCAAAAUCAAACCAACUUAAUCGAUUUUAAGAUUAUCAGAACCAAACCAAAUCAAAUAUAAUAUACAUUUGUUGGUUUGGUUGUUAUCGGUUUCGGUUCGAUUCGAUUUGGUUCGGUUAUUAACCAUACACAAAAUAAAAGAAACAAUUCAUUCAAAAUGUUGAAAGAGUGACAACAAUAUCCGUUCAGAACAAAUAAUAGUUAGAAAGACUGACAUUAUAGAACUUUCUAUCACUGAAUUUACUACGAAUUAAACUUCAAAAUUCAGUAUUUUGGCCUAGAUUCAGUCCCACGGAAAAUUGUCAGACACUUAUAUAUAUGAAACCAAUAAGAUAAUUGUGCUCACCUUGUGCAUUUUUGCUUUCAUAAGUAGAUUAUAAAUAAAUUUUUGAUGAAAACAUAUAUAAGAUCUUUAAAUUAGUUUAUAAAAUCAAUAUGUUAUGUAUGUAGAAUAAUAAGAUAUAUGUAUAUAAUUUGUCGGGUCAGUUAUUUCUUCAAUUUUUUCUAAUAAAAUCAUAACCAAACUAAAUACUAUCGAUUUUAAUAAUAUAAAACCAAAUCAAACCAAACCCAAAUAAAAUCAAUUUAUUUAAUCGAUUUGAUUCAAUUUUUUGAUUUGAAUCAAUUUUAUCCAAAACGUGAACACCCCUAUCUAUAAGAGAACCAACAAAAUUCUAUGUCAAGAAGUAGGGAAGAAUGUGUGUAUUUACGGAUGACAUUCAAAUUUAAUUUGCUUAACUCAACUAAAUUUGUUCAAGUUUGAAUGAUUAUUGAUCUGGUCAUUUGUUAGCUCACUUAGCUCAAUCCAUUAUAUUAAAAACUAGGAGACUUGGCCGCGCUUCGCGCGGUUAAGAAAGAUCUCUUUAGAUUUACAAACUAAUCUUUUACUAUUUCAAAAAAUUAAAAAUAUUUUAAAAUAAUUAUAUAGUCUCCAAUUCAAAUAAAUUUGAUUUUAAUUUGUUUAACCUUUCAUUACCUAAAACUUAGUUGUUAGAAAAUAAAGUUCAUCCAAAAAAAAAAAAAAGAGAUUCCUUUAAAUUUUCAACAUCAUUAUUUGUGUUAUGGUGUAGUGACAUUCUUUUGCUUAAUUAAAAAAAAAUUGUAUCUUUAAAAGAAAAGCAUUUUGCACAUAAUCAUGAUAUAGUAAUAAUGGUGUUCAAUAGUUUCAUUAAAUUUCUACGAUAGUACAUUUUAUAAUUUUGAGAAAGUUGUAUAAAUAUUUAUUCGUUACAAAUGUUUAGAGGUUUUGCCUAUUUCAAGUUCUUACAUAAUUCAAAUAAAUUCUUAUAUUUAACUUCUUCUUUUUAAAAAAAAGUGAUAAUAUUUACAAUAUAAAUAUAAACGCUAAAAAUUUACAGUUUAACAGAAAAUAUGCAUACUUUUUUUAUUUGUAAGUAAACUAAAGUACACAUAUUUGUUAGCCUCCUAUGAAAGCUUAACAAUAAUAUUUGAGACUUUAUUCUUACAAUAAGAUGUACGAGCAGAAAUGAAAAAAAAUUAUUCAAAAAUAAAUCAAAACUAAUUGAUGGCAGCAAAUUAAUUAAAAAAUUACAGUUUAUAUAUUACAUCGUUAGUUAAUUAAAAUUUAAAAACACUUUUUGAAAUUCGAAUAAUCUGCAUAUUAUUCGGAGAUCUGCAAGAACAAAAAGAAAAAAAAUGAAGAAUUUGAAGUUAGCUAUAAGAUAAUAUAUGUUGAGUUUUCUGUAGAUACAACAAUAAUAUGUUAUGUUGAAUUUUGUGGAUAUAUAACAAUGAUUUAAGAAGACUCUUAACAGUAGAAGACAACUUAUGAUCGCCACAUACUCAUAUUUUUAGCACCAUCCAGGAACUAAUUCAUCAUUGCAUAUUCUUCUAGUUUAGUAUAUUCGUGGUAUGCAUAAAUUUGUAUGUAAGAAUUCAUUAAAAUUAUAAUAAAGUAUGAAAGUGAACUCAUGACUUAAAAAAUAUAAGAAAUUAGUGCUAAAUCAUUAAACGUUAAUUAUAUAAUAUUUAAAUCAUGGCUCCAGCUUAAUAUCAUGAUAUAUAUACCACUUGCUUUACCCCCACAAGCAUAAAAAAAAUAUUGGAUCUUCAAAAAUACAACCUAAAAAAAUAUCAAAAGUUAGUACUAAAAACUUUAAAUAUUAAAUACAUAAAAUUUAAAUUUUGAAUUCACCUAUAUCUCUUCAUAUCACACAACACUUGCUUUCACCACACAAAAACCCCAAAAAAAUAUUACCCACGCUAUUGUUUUGAAUCUAUAUGAAAAGUAUUGAAAUUUUCUUGAUCCUCCUUUGUAAAUCAUAAAGAAUCAUUCUAAUUUUAUAAUUACGAUAAUCAAUAAAAAAAAAGUCAUAAGAUAAAAGUCAUUUAGUAUUAGCAGAUAAUGAAAAAACUUAAAAACCAUACAAAUAAGACUAACAAAGAAAAACCUACAUAAAAAGCAACCUUGAUAGAUUGGGAGGGAUUAUAUAAAUCACACAAGCCCCAAUAAAAACUCCAAUUAAAAAAACCCAAAUCCUUUCCUUUUAUUUUUGAGAAUUCAUUUUUAUUUACCAUUAAAUAUUUUCUUCCACAAUCCACAAAGUCCCGUGCACUUUUAGAAAUGGACUUCUAUAAAGUGCAGUAAAAAAGGAUGUUCAAAGUGCAGUCAUUGACUAUUAAUUUAGGAGUUAUAAUUGUCCAGGGUUGUAAGGAAUAAUUAAAAUAAAAACAAUUAAACUUUUAUUUUAAAGAAAAUAAAUAAAUGAAAAAGUAAUAAUUGACACAUUCUAUAUAACAAUAAAAUGAAUAAAAAGAUACUUUUUAAUUACAAAUAAAAUUAUGAUACAAAAAUCAUUCUUAAGAUCCUACAAUAUAUUAAUAUUUAAAUUUCAAAAAAAAUAUUAAUUAAAAAAAGGUACCUGAUAAAUGCCAAUGAUUCACAUCAAACAUGAGACAAUUGAUAAAAAAAAUUUUAAAAAUUUCAUGAUAUACAUGAUAUCUAUAGCUCAAGAUUUAUAGGAGAAGAUGAAAAAGUGAGGAGUUAUAUAAAUUAAUUUUCAGAAGUUAAUGAAGGGACGUGGGGAAAGGAAAGGUUGGUACACGGUUACAACUUACAAUUAAAAUUUGCAUUUACAUGGAAAUGAGACUGUUACAAUUAAAAUUUGGAAAAGUAUCUUCCUCUUUACAAUUAAUUAGAAUCUAUUAAUUAUUACAGCCUUAAUUAAAAUCUAUUUACAUGGAAAAAUAGAGAGAAAAAAACCAAAAAUAGAUAAGUAGAUUUCCUGAUCAUAGAGGCAUGCCACAUCAGCUGAUUGAAGAUCCUCCUUUAUAUAUAUAUAUAUAUAUAUAUAUAGAUAGAUAGAUAUAUUAGGUUAAUAUAUAGCCCAAAUUGAUUGAUAAGAAAUUUUAUCAAAAAGAUAUUUAAUUUUGUUUAUUUGACAUGUUAUAUAUAUAACUAGAAAAAUAAUAAGUGGGAACUAUGCUUUGGUCGCCUUGACGAAGUCCGUACAAUCAACAAGUACUAAUUUGAUAAAAAACUUAUUUACAACUAAUUAUCAUCUCAAUAAAAUUAGUAGGCUAAAAUCAACUUUUAAUAAGAGGCCUCAUUCAUUUAAUUUGUAUUUAUUGUGUAUUGUAUAAUAUUUUUAAGUUUACAACAAAAAUCUGACAGUAAUAAUGUUGUAUAACUUACAUAAAUCCCAUAAUGUAAAGAGUAAAUUACAUCUUAUCCCUAUUUUUUUUUCUAAUUACAGUAAUCCCUUAAAAUUUGUACCUUCCGGAUACAUAAGUCACCAUCCGAAUACAUUAAUUCACCAUCCGAAUACACUAAUUCUAAUACAAGAAAAAUCUUUCUGUUGCGCUAAAAAAUGAAUAAAAUCUGAAAAUUAAUUAAAUCUCAUAAAUUACGCUUAUGUUUCUUCUUACUCUCAAUCAUAUAGAGGCAAAUCCUAAUAGAACGAAGAAAUUCAAAAUUUCAAAUUUCUCCCCUCGUUCAACGAAGAAACCUUUCAGAUAUGAUUCAAAAAAAAUUGUCAAAAUUUUGGAUAAGCGAGGUGAGUUUUGAAGGAUACAAAAGUGAUGAAAUUGUUGUUGGACAAACGAUAUCCUUUUGAAUCUUCAAGUUCAUCGAAGAUCCUUUCAAUUUUGAUUCAAGAUAAUCAAAAAAAAAUUGAGAUUCAAGAUUCUUUCUUCUCCAGUUCAGCGAAGAUCCUUUCAAUUUUGAUUCAAAAUUCUUCUCCUAGUUUAUUGAAGAUCCUUUCAAUUUUGAUUUAAAAUUGUUGAAAAAUUUGAGAAGAUACAUCAUGAAUAUCUUUGCUACUUAACAUUUACUAUUUAUGUAUCUUGUUUAAAUUGAUAAGUAUUGUAUUUAUACUAGAUACAUUAAAUAAAUAAUUAUUGCCUAUAAGAGGUUAGAUUUGAGAUCGAUACAUUAUUGUGUGGUAGUUGCUAUGUAAUUGAUACAUUUAGUAUAAAUUUAAAUUUACGUAUCAUAUCUAAAAAAUUAGUGCAUGAUACAUUACUAUUUAUGUAUCUCGUUUAAAUUGAUAAGUAUUGUAUUUAUACUAGAUACAUUAAAUAAGUAAUUGUUGUCCAUAAGAUGUUAGAUUUGAAAUCGAUACAUUACCGUGUGGCAGCUGCUAUGUAAUUGAUACAUUUAGUAUAAAUUCGAAUUUACAUAUCAUAUCUAAAAAAUUAGUGCAUGAUACAUUACUAUUUAUGUAUCUCGUUUAAAUUGAUAAGUAUUGUAUUGUUUGCCUUGAAAGAUAUUUAUAACUUACAUAAUGUAUCAUUUUGUAGUUGAUAAUAAUGUAUCUGGUACAAUAAGGUUGUGAAAUAAUGAUGUAUGUAAGCUGAAAUAAAGUGUAUCUAUAAAUGUAUCACAAUAAAUAAGAAUUAAGUUAUCAAUUAGAUACAUGAACAAACACAAUCCAUUAAAGAAAUUUGAUUAUGAAAAACACCAGAAAAAGAGGAAAAUAUUAGACUGUAUAAAAUUUUGGUGAAAUUGAAACUAAUAUUAUUAUGAGAAAAUGAGAAGAUUAAAUAAUAAUACAAUAAUCCUAAUCAGUUUCAAUGAAUGAUUAGUUGUUAGAGUCCAUAACCAACUCAAAUUAUGGAAGAUUUACAAAUAUUAUAUUUUUUUUUUAAUCAAACACCCGAGGUGAGUUUUAUUAACCAAAAAUAAAGAAACCAAAUACAAAUACCAAAUCCAACAGUGAUUUGGAAAUAAUAGAAAAACAAAACAACUACUAAACCAAAAAAAGAAAAAGAAGGAAAAAGACAAAAUAAAAAGAAAAGACGACAGAAAAGGCAAGAACUUCUUCAAAUAUUAUAUUAAUUAUUAACAAAUAAUAACAACUACUACUAUUUUUUUCCCUUCUAAUUUACGUUUUAGCGUAGAAAAUUUGAAGUUCACAUAGUUUAUUUUAUUAUAAAUUUUGGAGUAUUUUAAAAAAUAAGUAAAAAACUCAUAAAUAUCUUUUUAAAACUUUUUUGGCUAAAAAUAUCCUUAACCUACCGAAAAGAGAUUGAUUUUGAAUUUCAAACGUGUUUGAGAAAAUAACUAUUAAGAUUUUGUGACUAAAAAUAAGGAGAAAUUUGUGAAGUGAAAUAAGGAAGGGAUAAAUAUUGGUUUGAGAGUUAGGAUUUAUGUAUCCAGCGUUUGGGGAUUUGAGAGUAAAAUAAGGGGUUUUGGAAAAUUUUAGAACCGAUAGGAAAUAAUGAAAAUUAUGAAAAAAAAAGGUGUGUAUAUAGGUAAUUUAUCCAAUAAUGUAAUUAGGAUUAUUUCAAGUUAAUUAUAAGUUAGUCAUGUGUAUAUAAUACAUUACCUUAGAUAUUAUUGCAUAACAAGUUUUUAUCUACUAAUAUGAAGAUUUAAGUAGUUUAAUUUAAGGUCAAGCAAUUUUUACCACGGAAAAAGGGUCUAAAAUAUCCUUAAACUAUUGAAAAUGGUACAAAACUAUCCUUCAUCCACCUAUUGACUCCAAAAUACCCAUGUCAGACAUCUAUUGGUUCCCAAAUACCCCUACCAUCCAUCUUUGAGUCCAAUAUUGAUCACUUUUAUAAUGGAUUACCAUCUAUUGGAUAAAAUUUAAUUACUUAAAUUAAUUUACAAACUCAACCAUUACUAACUAUACCCAAUCCAAAUUAACUACUCCCGACCCAAAUUAACUACACCCGCCCCAAAUUACCUUACCCCACAGAUUAAAAAAAAUACACCCAUCAUUCCCAAUAUUUCACUUCAUUUUCCAACCUUCUUCCCCAAUAUAUUCGCCUACAAUCUUGAAAAACACUACCUAAAUACACACAUGUAUCACCAUAAGAAAUCACCAAAACACUCAUGAUUUUUUAUGGUGAUAUAUACAUGAGUGUAUUUACGUAGUAUUUUUUGACAUUGUAUGCGAAUUUAUUGGGGAAGUAAGGUUGGAAGAGAAAGUGAAAUAAAAGUGAAAUAUUAGGAAUAAAAGGUGUAUUUGUUUUAAUUGGUGGGGUAAAUGUAAUUUGGGCCGGAAGUAGUUAAUUUGAGCUAGGUGUAGUUAACUUGAGUUAAGUGUAGUCAAUUUGGGUCAGAUAAAAUUAGUAAUAGGUGAGUUUGUAAAUUAAUUUAAGCAAUUAAAUUGUAACCAAUAGAUGAUCAUCACGUAUUUAAAAAAAAUUAUUUAAAUGAUACAUGUUGUAAAAGUGGUCAAUAUUGGACCCAAAGGUGGAUGACAUGAUAUUUGAGAGCCAAUAGGUGGAUGAAGGAUAGUUUGGCACCCUUUCCAAUAGUUCGAGGAUAUUUUAAAAAUCUUUCUUUCCUUACUUUUUAAUAAAGAUUUUGUACUCUUUUCCUUGCAAAUCUUUUUGUAAGUAAAAAUAAACGUAUAAAUCAAUAUUAAUUUUUUGGGAGGCUUAAAACGAAAGUUUUACUAGUCUUCACUUUGAAUCGUACUUGUAUCACAUAACUCAAUAUGGUAUUAUCAUAUGUAUAAGAGGAUUUGGAAUUUGAAGUUUAUGAAAUUCAUAAAACGUUUUAGAUUAAUUUAUACAACAAAAAUGAGGCAAAAAUAUUUCUAAUAUAUAAAAAAUGACUGACAAAUAACGUUCUUCAACUUUUAUAUCUAAACAUACCCUCAACCUUUAAUUUUUGACUUAAGGUUACCCCUCAAACAAAUUUUGAAUUUGGUCAAAUUUUGCUCUUUAAAAUAGUAUGUGGCCUAUUAUGAUUUGUCUUGUUUUUUUUUUAAAUUUUGAAUUACAUAAAAUCUAUCCAUAAUUUGAACUCACCCCGCUCCUGACCCAUUUUUCUUUAAGCCCUUGAUCAUUCAUCCUCAUUAGAAUGUAUUUGGUGUUCCAAAUAAAAGUAUCUACUGUGAUUCACAUGUAUAUAGAGUAAAAUAACUAUGUCACUCGCCUUAGUGAAACAAUACGUAAUUAUUUCAAAUUAGUAAAUAUGAAAAAAAUGUUUGUAAAUUACUUCUUCAAAAUGAACAAUUUUAAAGAAAAUACAAAAAAUUAAAUUGGAUAGCACCGUAUAAAUGUUGUAAUUAUAUUAUCAUACAAUAUUGUUUCAUAAAUUGGAGAAAAAAUGUUGAGAGUAGAUGAUCAAUCCAUACAAGAAGCAUGAUACUUCAGAGUGCUCUCCAUGAAAUAUCUUCUCUAUAAAAGUAAAAUAAAAUUAUCCACAAAGACAAAGGACACAAAUUCAAAAUAAUAAUAUGAACAAAUACAUUGGAAACGAGAAUAAAAAGUAUGGCAUUGCAUUGUCAUAGUUAACAACAUAGUAUAAAUUUUAGUAACAAUCAAACAAACAUUAUAUAUACCUAAAUAAUAAUAUAAUAAGUAACAAUGAUCUGAACAACUUAUAAAAAAUACAGUAAACUUAAGUAAUAAUCAAAAUAAAUAUUAUAUUUCAAUAACAAACAUAAUAAAUAACAAUCAUCCGAAUAAUCUGUAAUUACAAGAUGAAGUAAGAGAAAAAAAUAUUUUCUUUUUUUCUUUCAAUUUGUUUAAAAGUAGAUGUUCAUUUUCACACUUUGGUUAAAACAACAGAGUACUUAAUAUUGUUUGGUUGUUUUGAGACGUGGAUCAAUGUCAAGUACAAUAGUUCUACAUAAACAAUCAACAAAGAUUUAUUUUUUUUGUUUAUCAUGUCAAAUCAAAGACAUCUAAUAAAGAAAUAAUAAAGAGAAACAUGUGCCAAAACUCUAAAAUAGACAAGAAUACGGUAUGCAAUCCCAAAAUUAGUAGCAAUAAAUUAUAAAUGUCUAAGUCCGAAGAGAUGGAUCAAAAGGUAGAGAAGAAUCAAUGGCAGCUUGGAAGAAGUAGCUCAGCCUUGAAUUCAAAUGUCACUUGUCUCACAAUUGAGAUUUUGAUGCAGCCGCCUGAAUAUAUCAUGUACUCAACAAAAAAAGAGCAAGUACAAUAUCAGUAUACAACCACAAUGUAUCGAUAGGAUUGUAACACCUUGGUCUUAGAAAGAGCUAAAUUUAGAAAGAGCUAAAUUGAGUUUGGUACAAGUUACUCUUCGACUGUGAGUUUUGGGUCAACUUCAAACUAUCAUAACUUUCAGCACAUGAUGAGUUAGGUGGCCCAUGAGAUAUCAAAUCAAAGGUCGUUGAGUCCUUUUUUCAACACCGCCAAGUUUGCUAAAUUCCAAGUUUGGAUGAAGGAUAUGCCCGUUUGAGUGCAACCUGUCUAGUUAAGAAAAUUCAUCCGUUUUAAGGAGGGGUGUUUCGAUCUUUUCCUUACCCACUAGGCCUACACGUUUUUUUCACCCUUUUUGGGGUCUAAACUGAUUGGAAUCCGUUUUAGUCAUUCCAAAAGAGCUUAGUUUUUUUUUUUUGAGAAGUUCAAGAGGAGAAAAAGAAGAACGUUCAAGAUUCUUGCAAGUUUUGAGGAUUUUUGCCAAGAAUUAAUUUUUUCGAGAUAUGUAAGCUCUCAUAGUAUUGUGUUUGUUCAUGUAACACCUCAAAAUUUUUUGAGCUAAAAUUCAAACCAUUCUUUAUUGUGACUAAGAUUUUAUCGAGAAAUUUAAAUUAAUAACUUUUUCAAAUUUAAUUUUCACUUUUCCUAUAGUUCAAGGUAAUUUUAGCCAUUUCCCCUAAAUUUUAUAGGAAGAAGGCAGCAAUUGUAGCCAUUAAUAAAAAUUGAAAAAAAAAGGGACUAUACACAUAUAAAACCGAUGUGACAUUUUUUUAAUCUAUCAAAGAGAAGAAUUGAGAUCACUUAUCUUAUUACAUGAGAAAGUUGCCGGGCGAAAGUAUUUUUAAGGUUGCUAAUAGUUUGUGAAUAAAAUUAAUAAUUUUUUUGAAUUUGAAUUUCACUUUUUACCAUUAACAUUUAUUAAUAGUGAGAUGAAAAAUCGAUAGUGAUGAAAAGACAAAGGUGUCCUUCCAUCCUUUCUUUCUCAACUUCCUCUUUCUCCCCUCUGAAAAUUCCCAUUUUGCUUCUUCUGACUAGGGUUUUGGUAUCUCUCUUUCGAUAUUCUCCCGUUCAUCGGAUAUAUAUGGUCGGAAUGAGACUCCUUCCUGAAGAUUCCGACGUCGCGCCGGCGCGAACAUUGGCAGCAACUGACUUGAUCUCCGACGACGAUCGAUCAGUAGCGGCGGACUCGUGGUCGAUAAAGAGCGAAUACGGAAGUACACUUGAUGAUGAACAACGUCAUGCUGAUGCUACUGAAGCUCUCGCCGCUGUCAAUAACCGUGCAGCCUCCGAUUACAGGUUUUGUCCCCUCUAGAUGCAAAAUUUUAGGAGCUAAUUCGUUAAAAAAUAAAUUAUGCUUGAUAGAUAAGUAAUUAAGUCUGAACUUCAUAGAAAUAUUAUUUAAGAACUAUUUGAUGCUGGAAAUGAUGCUAUUGAAACUGCAUUAUAAAGUUAAACUUGAAUAAAGUGGAAGCUGACAGUGUAAUAUGAGUAUUUUAUGGGUUGUACCAGGUUAGUCACAGGGGCUUAGCCAACGCAUACUGAACGGGUACUAAUUAAGCCGGUUAGUGACUAGUUAAAACACCGGGAGUGGUCUGAUCCCCUGUUUGAUCAGACCUCUCCGAGAAAGAUAAAAAGCAAACUCUCAUAGUGCGGAACCCAGCUCCACCAAUUUCUUCGCAAGUUAGGUGAGGUACUUCUUUUGGUUUGAUUAGGGGGUCGCCCCAGCAGAUGCCAUUAACUUUGGCGCGAAUUUGUAUUUGUGUUCAAAAUUCUAUUAAUAUCUAUAAAUAAUUUAUGUAGAAUCCAUCCAGUAAGUUGUCUUUUCUAAAAUUUAGAACCCAUAAACUCAAAAUUCUAGCUUCACCUCCGAUUAGUCGUCAGCUUUUGCAGGUAACGAAUUCUUGUUUAUUAUGGUUAUUGACAUUAAAGUAAUCUGAUUGUGUAGAAAUUGUUUACCCAGUGUCAGUGUUUUGUGGGACUACAUGCUGUUGUUGUCGGUGUAUAAAAACUAAAUCGUUUCAUUUUGCACUGGGCUAGACAAUUUUAUUUGGAGCUAAUUAAUAAUGGAAAUGAUGCUGAAUAAUGCUGUUGGGGUUGCAUUGUAAGGUAAAUCAUGAAUAAAGCAGUAGCUGAAACUGCAUGUUUACGGGUUCCACCAUUAAUAAAAAUGCUUCAGAUCAUUGAUUAGGAACAUCUUCCUAAAAAAUUGCCAAGUGAUAUUGCUCUUAUGUUGAUUUCUCAAGCUGUAAAUUCCAACUGCUAAAGCUUUAAUAAGCAAAUAUCUGAUUUUUCAUCUGUGUGUACGAACAGUUCUGACAAGGAGGAGCAAGAUGCUGAAGGAGUGUCUUCAAUGCUUGGUUUCCAGAGCUAUUGGGAUUCUGCGUAUGCUGAUGAAUUGGCAAAUUAUCGCGAGCAUGGUCAUGCUGGUGAAGUUUGGUAAGAAUUAGCUGGCCAAAAGAAAGCAAUGUGUUUCCUUUUCAUCCAUCCAGUAAGAUAUCUUUUACUUUUUUGUGAUCAUUGUGGAUCAAACGUUCAACUUGUAGUUACUUAAAACUCGUUGAAGCAUAUGGGUGAUAGCAUGUAGCAAUAAAUUCUUUUUUUCCAGAUUACCUGAAGAGGGUAAUCAACUAAGAAAAAAGUAAUCUACAUUUACAUUUGUGUCUUUGUGGACAACUUAUUAAUGAGGUCCUUUGGUUGGUUAUCUUGAGUAACAGAUCUGAUUAUAUUAGCAGCCUUGCUGGAAAAAGGGUCUGGCUUCAGCUCUGUCAUUUUUACAAAGAUUUGGUUCAGCUCAGGAUAUAUUUUGUUCGGUUAUAGAUAUGGAAGACAAUUUUUGGGCUUUCUUUCCAUCUUUUACAAAGAUUACCAUUCCCAACCCCUAAAAGAUAACCUGAAAGAGGAAGUGGUGAUGGGAUAGUGAUUCUAACAUUGGAUUAUUAUGUUCCUAAUAAAUGAUAAUGAUAAACAAAACAUUCAUGAAUGAUUUUAAUCUAUUAUUUUCCCUAUCUUUCUAUAGGUUUGGUGCUGAUGUUAUGGAAAUUGUUGCUUCAUGGACCCGAGGUUUGUGCACUGGCAUUUGUCAAAAUCACUUGUCAAAUCAUGUAGGUGAUGGCGAGCAAGUUGGGGUACAUGAGAAGGACUUGGCUGAUUGGAGUGUGCUUGAUAUUGGGACCGGCAACGGUCUGCUUCUUCAAGAGUUCGCUAAACAGGGGUAAAGUUGAUUUCCUCCUAGCUAUUACUGUAUGCUACCCAUUCCCUCACUCCGUCAUUCUAUAACUGCUAUAGGAGCUUUUCUGCGAACUAUUUGGCGCAAUCGCUACAAAAUCUUGAAAGUUCCAUAAUGCUGCGUUGGAAAUUUGCAGUUUGUGUAAUUGUUAAGAUAGUAAACUGUGAUCAGUCAAGGUCACAGUUGUACAUGAAAAGCAUAUGGCUUUAGAGAAGAAGUGAAGUGCACAUUUGUGUUUCUGCAUCUUCUAUAUACUCCCUCGAAUCCAAAAUAAUUGAUUUGUUAGCCUCUAAAAGUUGGUCUAAAAUAAUUGAUGUUUCACAAAACCAAGAAGUAUUUAACUCCUUUUCUCAAUUUUUCCCUUGAUACAUUCCUAAUUCCCAUGAUAAUUAUGUCAACCUAAAAAAAAAUCAUAACUAAGGGUAUUUAGUCAAACC
rnacentral:lncRNA from 1 species